CAACUACUCCCUCUGUCCCAAAUUUCUUGUCUUAGAUCUGUCUAGAUACGGAUGUAUCUAAUACUAAAAUGUGACUUGAUACAUCCGUAUCUAGACAAAUCUAAGACAAGAAUUUUGGGACGAAGGGAGUACUUU
rnacentral:pre_miRNA from 1 species